rnacentral:rRNA from 1 species
GGUGCAUGGGCCGUUCUUAGUUYGUGGAGUGAUCUGUCUGCUUAAUUGCGUUUCAAAACAACUGAUACACAGAGUCUUGGCACAGUUCAGUUUAAUGGCGUCGAGUAUCUUUGAUUUCGACAGUAGUCCAACUCGGUUCGCCAGGGUCUCUUUUGAACGCAACGGACGUGAUCGCAACCCUUUGUUGAGUGAUGUCAGCACUCUACGUCUAUCCUAGCUCGUUGAUCGCAAGUGAGAGUUGGGUGGGCAAACUCAGGGGACAGCUUCAACUAUUCUUCUUCAAACUAGAGGAAGGUUGCGGCAAUAACAGGUCUGUGAUGCCCUCAGAUGUUCUAGGCUGCACACGUGCUACAUUGAUCAGCACAAUGCGAUACAUUUCGAAAGGAAACAUCGGUUUUAAGGUAACGUCGAUUGCCUACCGAUAGCACCUGGUCCCCAGUGGACUGGGCAAUCUCUUCUAAAUGCUGGUAAGGUACCCACACUCGAGCUAUUUAAUCACACGCGGGAGGCACACACGGUUCAAAUCUCAUUUGCGACUGUUGCCGCCAUGACGUAUGCAACUUGUCAAUUCUUCGUGGGGAUCGUCGAUUGCAACUAUUCGACUCGCCACAACUAGGAAUGCCU